ensembl:Mt_tRNA
UAGGAUGUGGUGUAAUGGAAACACGGAGGGUUUUGGUCUCUCAGAUUAAGGUUCGAAUCCUUUCAUACUAA